GAAGCGACGCCGCGUGUGGGAAGAAGGCCUUCGGGUUGUAAACCACUGUCGGGAGUUAGGAAAUGCAGGUGCGUUAAUAGCGCACUUGCUUGACUAAGGCUCCCGAGGAAGCCACGGCUAACUCUGUGCCAGCAGCCGCGGUAAUACAGAGGCGGCAAGCGUUGUUCGGAAUUAUUGGGCGUAAAGAGCACGUAGGCGGCCUUGCAAGUCAGUUGUGAAAGCCUUCCGCUUAACGGAAGAACGGCAUCUGAUACUACAGGGCUUGAGUACGGGAGGGGAGAGUGGAACUUCUGGUGGAGCGGUGAAAUGCGUGGAUAUCAGAAGGAACGCCGGCGGCCAAAGCGACUCUCUGGUCCGAAACUGACGC
rnacentral:rRNA from 1 species